rnacentral:rRNA from 1 species
UUGGAGGGCAAGUCUGGUGCCAGCAGCCGCGGUAAUUCCAGCCCCAAUAGCGUAUAUUAAAGUUGUUGCAGUUAAAAAGCUCGUAGUUGAAUUUCGGGAUCAAAUUGUCGGUCGUGCCUCGGUACGCACUGGUAUUAUUGGUUCCUACCUUCUGAAGAACCGCGAUGUCAUUAAUUUGGUGUCGUGGGGAAUCAGGACUGUUACUUUGAAAAAAUUAGAGUGUUUAAAGCAGGCUUACGCUUGAAUACAUUAGCAUGGAAUAAUGAAAUAGGACGUUUGAUUCUAUUUUGUUGGUUUCUAGGAUUGACGUAAUGAUUAAUAGGGAUAGUUGGGGGCAUUAGUAUUCAAUUGUCAGAGGUGAAAUUCUUGGAUUUAUUGAAGACUAACUACUGCGAAAGCAUUUGCCAAGGAUGUUUUCAUUAAUCAAGAACGAAAGUUAGGGGAUCGAAGACGAUCAGAUACCGUCGUAGUCUUAACCAUGAACUAUGCCGACUAGGGAUCGGAUGAUGUUAAUUCUUUAAUGACUCAUUCGGCGCCUUACGGGAAACCAAAGUGUUUGGGUUC